rnacentral:rRNA from 1 species
UACGUAGGGUGCUAGCGUUAUCCGGAUUUAUUGGGCGUAAAGCGAGCGCAGGCGGUUCCUUAAGUCUGAUGUGAAAGCCCCCGGCUCAACCGGGGAAGGUCAUUGGAAACUGGGGAACUUGAGUGCAGAAGAGGAGAGUGGAAUUCCAUGUGUAGCGGUGAAAUGCGUAGAUAUUAGGAGGAACACCAGUGGCGAAGGCGGCUUUCUGGACUGUAACUGACACUGAGGCACGAAAGCGUGGGUAGCAAACAGG